rnacentral:rRNA from 1 species
GACGAACGCUGGCGGCGUGCUUAACACAUGCAAGUCGAACGGAAAGGCCCUGCUUUUGUGGGGUGCUCGAGUGGCGAACGGGUGAGUAACACGUGAGUAACCUGCCCUUGACUUUGGGGUAACUUCAGGAAACUGGGGCUAAUACCGGAUAGGAGCUCCUGCUGCAUGGUGGGGGUUGGAAAGUUUCGGCGGUUGGGGGUGUACUCGCGGCUUAUCAGCUUGUUGGUGGGGUAGUGGCUUACCAAGGCUUUGACGGGUAGCCGGCCUGAGAGGGUGACCGGCGACAUUGGGACUGAGAUACGGACCAGAGUCCUACGGGAGGCAGCAGUGGGGAAUAUUGCACAAUGGGCGGAAGCCUGAUGCAGAAACGCCGCGUGUGGGAUGACGGCCUUCGGGUUGUAAACCGCUUUAGCCUGUGACGAAGCGUGAGUGACGGUAAUGGGUAAAGAAGCACCGGCUAACUACGUG